UCCCGCAGUAACGGCGAGUGAAGUGGGAAGAGCCCAGCACCGAAUCCCCUGCUCGCGCGGGCAGCGGGAACUGUGGUGUAUAGGACAGCCUCUGCGACGUCGACCGGUCGUCUAAGUCCCCCUGAUCGGGGCUUUGACCCAUAGCGGGUGUUAGGCCUGUACGGCCGCCGGUCGCGUCGCUCUGUGCAUCCUGGGAGUCGGGUUGUUUG
rnacentral:rRNA from 1 species